rfam:Pteropus alecto contig62346, whole genome shotgun sequence.
AUCACUUUUCAGCCUUUGGCUAAGAUCAAGUGUAGUAUCUGCUCUUAUCAGUUUAAAAUGGAAAUGAAAAAAUAUCUGAUGUAGCAAUACUUAUACCAGACAAAAUAGACUUUAA